CAGAGUUCAUGCCCUUCGGGGUAUACCUCCCACCCUUUGUUUACCGUACCUUUGUUGCUUUGGCAGGCCCGUCUUCGGACCGCCGGCUUCGGCUGGUCUGCGCCUGCCAGAGGACCCAAAACUCUGUCUGUCUGUGUCGUCUGAGUACUAUAUAAUAGUUA
rnacentral:misc_RNA from 1 species